AAGUACACCAGGCAUUCUUGGACAAAUAAAAAUCAUGACACAUAUACAAAUACCUCGGGCAUAUUUGGGCUAGCAAAAUGAGAAGAUGUACAAACGACACGGUCUAGAACCCAAUGCUAAAAACUCAAAGUGAAUCAAAACAUACGAAUACAAAAAAAACGUAACUUUAUAAACGUGUGUUUUGAUUCGUCUCAUAGUGCUAUCCAAGUGUGGUCUAAGGCCAUCUCCAACCACAACACCAUUGCACCAUUUUUUGGUGCAAAAUUGCUCCAACCCAACACCAAACUUUGCACCAUUUUGCACCAAAAUGGUGCAAGUGUAAAAUGUCAAUUUUGCCCUUAUUUUACAUUUCCCAAAUAAAUUUGUUGAGGGUAUUUAUGUAAUUUGUGCUAUAUAUUUUUUAAUACAAUAAAUUAUUAUUAUUAUUAUUAAUAUUAAUAAUUAUUUGUGUUUAAAAUAAAUUUUAAAUGUAAGACAUAAUAAUUAAUUAAUUAAUUAAAAGACGAAAAUAAUUUAAAAUACAUCAAACACGAUUAAUUAAUUAUUUAUUUAGUAAUUUAUGUAUUUCUGAAAUAAUUAAAUAAAUAAUAUUUCAAAUAAGUAGAUUAUAAAGAAUAAAAAAAGGGAAGAAAAUGGUUAAAUACUGUUCAUUUGGUGUAAUUUUUGGUGUAAUGGUUGGAGAUGAAUUUUAGUUUGGUGUAAGAUUUGGUGCAAAAUUUGGUGCAAAAUGGUGCAAAAUUUGAUGAUGGGUUGGAAAUGGCCUAAUGUCUUUAAAAAUCUUUUUAUUCCUUGCCAUACAUAAAGUGGAAGGCUACUUGCUCCUAUUAAAGAGGGUGGUGCGCUCAAUGUGAAUGCCAUUCAUAUAUCGGACAAGGGAGAUUUCGCGUGUUUGGUUAUGACUUGUGAC
rnacentral:lncRNA from 1 species